rnacentral:rRNA from 1 species
CCUACGGGACGCAGCAGUGGGGAAUAUUGGGCAAUGGGCGCAAGCCUGACCCAGCAACGCCGCGUGAAGGAAGAAGGCUUUCGGGUUGUAAACUUCUUUUGUCAGGGACGAAGCAAGUGACGGUACCUGACGAAUAAGCCACGGCUAACUACGUGCCAGCAGCCGCGGUAAUACGUAGGUGGCAAGCGUUAUCCGGAUUUAUUGGGUGUAAAGGGCGUGUAGGCGGGAAUGGAAGGUAGAUGUGAAAAAUAUGGGCACAACCCAUAGCCGGCAUUUGUAACUGUAUUUCUUGAGGGCUGGGGAGG